rnacentral:rRNA from 1 species
UACGUAGGGUCCGAGCGUUGUCCGGAAUUAUUGGGCGUAAAGAGCUCGUAGGCGGUUUGUCGCGUCUGCUGUGAAAUCCCGAGGCUCAACCUCGGGCCUGCAGUGGGUACGGGCAGACUGGAGUGCGGUAGGGGAGAAUGGAAUUCCUGGUGUAGCGGUGGAAUGCGCAGAUAUCAGGAGGAACACCGAUGGCGAAGGCAGUUCUCUGGGCCGUAACUGACGCUAAGGAGCGAAAGCGUGGGGAGCGAACAGG